rnacentral:lncRNA from 1 species
AUCGGCUAUCAAUAUCCUCGAUUGAGAAAUUCACGGGUUCUUGCAUUCUCUAUAAGUUUUCUUUGUCUGUGUCUUUCUCUGAUCUGUUCGUCUUCCUCGAUAUCCAUAAUCAUCAAAGGUAAAAAAAAUAAGAUACAAAUCUAGAUUGAAAUACAGAUUUAUGUUGAUACAAAAUUGUUGAAUUUGAUACUCGAGCUAUCGAGUAAAGGUUGGACUAUCAAUCGUUUAUAUUUUUUUCCGGUAAAAAGUAUCGUCAUUCUUUUUAACAAUUUUAAAUUUUGUUCUCUGAUCAAGAUAGUUAGAUUGCUAUCAGUUUUAAUUGAACUUGAACUACUGUAUAUUCUUAUGGUCUUUGGUUUUUGUUUUAUUUUGUAGUAUCCUAAUAAAACGGGAGAAGCAUAAACGGGAGAAGCAUCAUGUAGAUACACAGAAGCAAUUCAGGAAUUUUCCAUGGCCACAAUGUCUUGCAUCAAAAUAUAAAGUAAGUUGUCUGGCAAAUUUAUAUUACUUUUAGAAGGUUUAAGUGGAACUGUAAAUGGUAGAUAGGUUUUUCCCUGGAGAAUGUUUGAUGUGAUGUAAUGUAUGUACUGUUUUAAAUGAAAAUUAUCAAGC